rnacentral:rRNA from 1 species
UACGUAGGGGGGCUAGCGUUGUCCGGAAUCAUUGGGCGUAAAGCGCGUGUAGGCGGCCCGGUAAGUCCGCUGUGAAAGUCCAGGGCUCAACCCUGGGAUGCCGGUGGAUACUGUCGGGCUCGAGUCCGGAAGAGGCGAGUGGAAUCCUGGUGUAGCGGUGAAAUGCGCAGAUAUCAGGAGGAACACCGGUGGCGAAGGCGGGUCUCUGGGCAGUGAACUGACGCUGAGGAGCGAAAGCGUGGGGAGCGAACAGG